rnacentral:rRNA from 1 species
CGUAGGGGGCAAGCGUUGUCCGGAUUUAUUGGGCGUAAAGAGCUCGUAGGUGGUUCGGUAAGUCGGAUGUGAAAUCUCCAGGCUCAACCUGGAGGGGUCAUUCGAUACUGCCGUGACUAGAGGUCGGUAGGGGAGUGUGGAAUUCCUGGUGGAGCGGUGAAAUGCGCAGAUAUCAGGAGGAACACCCGUAGCGAAGGCGGCACUCUGGGCCGAUACUGACACUGAGGAGCGAAAGCGUGGGGAGCGAACAGGAUUAGAUACCCUGGUAGUCCACGCCGUAAACGUUGGGCACUAGGUGUGGGACUCUAUCGACGGGUUCCGUGCCGUAGCUAACGCAUUAAGUGCCCCGCCUGGGGAGUACGGCCGCAAGGCUA